rnacentral:rRNA from 1 species
GAGUUUGAUCCUGGCUCGAAUCAACGCUGGCGGCGCGCUUAACACAUGCAAGUCGAGCGAGAAAGUGGAGCAAUCCAUGAGUAAAGCGGCGUACGGGUGAGUAACACGUGGGUAAUCUACCUUUUAGUGGGGAAUAACCCUGGGAAACCGGGGCUAAUACCGCAUAAUUCUGUAAAGAGAAAGCAGCAAUGCGCUGAAAGAGGAGCCCGCGGCCGAUUAGCUAGUUGGUGAGGUAAUGGCUCACCAAGGCGGUGAUCGGUAGCCGGCCUGAGAGGGCACACGGCCACACUGGCACUGAAACACGGGCCAGACUCCUACGGGAGGCAGCAGUGGGGAAUCUUGCACAAUGGAGGCAACUCUGAUGCAGCGACGCCGCGUGAGCGAUGAAGCCCUUCGGGGUGUAAAGCUCUUUCGGCAGGGACGAUAAUGACGGUACCUGAAGAAGAAGCUGCGGCUAACUACGUGCCAGCAGCCGCGGUAAUACGUAGGCAGCGAGCGUUGUUCGGAAUUACUGGGCGUAAAGGGUGUGUAGGCGGUGCUCUAAGUUCGGUGUGAAAUCUCCUGGCUUAACUGGGAGGGUGCGCCGGAAACUGGAAUGCUCGAACGUGGGAGAGGAAAGCGGAAUUCCUGGUGUAGCGGUGAAAUGCGUAGAUAUCAGGAGGAACACCUGCGGUGUAGACGGCUUUCUGGACCAUUGUUGACGCUGAGACACGAAAGCGUUGGUAGCAAACAGGAUUAGAUACCCUGGUAGUCCACGCCCUAAACGAUGCAUACUUGGUGUCGGCCAUUCAGUUGGUCGGUGCCGGAGCUAACGCGUUAAGUAUGCCGCCUGGGGAGUACGGUCGCAAGGCUGAAACUCA